rnacentral:misc_RNA from 1 species
AAGACUAUAGACCUGCGGAGUACCUGCGGAAGGAUCACUCACAAUAAGUGUUUUAUGGCACUUUAAUUCCAUAUCCACCUUGUGUGCAACGUAGUUCGUUUUUCGAACAAAACAUCAACAUUUUAAUUAUCAACAGAUCGUCUGAAGUAUUAUAUGAAUAAAUCAAUUCAAAAUACAACUUUUAACAACGGAUCUCU